rnacentral:rRNA from 1 species
GACGAACGCUGGCGGCGUGCUUAACACAUGCAAGUCGAACGGAAAGGCCCAGCUUGCUGGGUGCUCGAGUGGCGAACGGGUGAGUAACACGUGGGUGAUCUGCCCCUAACUUCGGGAUAAGCUUGGGAAACUGGGUCUAAUACCGGAUAGGACAAUCGUUUAGUGUCGGUUGUGGAAAGUUUUUUCGGUUAGGGAUGAGCCCGCGGCCUAUCAGCUUGUUGGUGGGGUAAUGGCCUACCAAGGCGUCGACGGGUAGCCGGCCUGAGAGGGUGGACGGCCACAUUGGGACUGAGAUACGGCCCAGACUCCUACGGGAGGCAGCAGUGGGGAAUAUUGCACAAUGGGCGCAAGCCUGAUGCAGCGACGCCGCGUGAGGGAUGACGGCCUUCGGGUUGUAAACCUCUUUCGACAGGGACGAAGCUUUGGUGACGGUACCUGUAUAAGAAGCACAGGCUAACUACGUG